CCUUUCCAUGCUUGAUUUUCAUACAGAAGACAGAUUGGCAUGUUAAUGUGAGAGUUUGACCUCUUCAUACAAUGGUACAGGGUGUAAAUUGUCAAUGUUAAAUAUUUGGGUGCCAAUGUUUCAUUCCUCUACCACUCCCCUCCCCCAUUUUUUCAAAGCAGUUCAGUUUUGUCUUGUAGAUAGUUAUUUCUGUUUUACUCAGAUUGCCUUUGUUCAUAAAGUCAUAAAACUUGGUAAGUAGAAGUGCAUUGCAGAAGACCUUAAACUGUGCUUAUUUUGGAGAAUACAGAAUUGAACUCAAUAACUAGUAAUUUGCCUUGUAUAAAAUGUCUUGGGAAUAAAA
rnacentral:lncRNA from 1 species